rnacentral:rRNA from 1 species
UACGGGGGGGGCAAGCGUUGUUCGGAAUUACUGGGCGUAAAGGGCUCGUAGGCGGCCAACUAAGUCAGACGUGAAAUCCCCAGGCUCAACCUGGGAACUGCGUCUGAUACUGGAUGGCUUGAAUCCGGGAGAGGGAUGCAGAAUUCCAGGUGUAGCGGUGAAAUGCGUAGAUAUCAGGAGGAACACCGGUGGCGAAGGCGGGUCUCUGGGCCGUAACUGACGCUGAGGAGCGAAAGCAUGGGGAGCGAACAGG